rfam:Simiduia agarivorans SA1 = DSM 21679, complete genome.
GGUCAAGCGACUAAGCGCACACGGUGGAUGCCUAGGCAGUUGGAGGCGAUGAAGGACGUAGGAGCCUGCGAAAAGGUUAGGGGAGCCGGCAAACAUGCUUUGAUCCUAACAUGUCCGAAUGGGGAAACCCACUGAGCUUGCUCAGUAUCGUGCACUGAAUACAUAGGUGUACGAGGCGAACCCGGGGAACUGAAACAUCUAAGUACCCGGAGGAAAAGAAAUCAACCGAGAUUCCCUUAGUAGCGGCGAGCGAACGGGGACCAGCCCUUAAGCAACUUGUGUUUUAGUGGAACCUUCUGGAAAGUUGGGCGAUACAGGGUGAUAGCCCCGUACACGAAAAGGCACUUGUUGUGAAAUCGAGUAGGACGGAACACGUGAUAUUCUGUCUGAACAUGGGGGGACCAUCCUCCAAGGCUAAAUACUCCCAACUGACCGAUAGUGAACCAGUACCGUGAGGGAAAGGCGAAAAGAACCCCUGUGAGGGGAGUGAAAUAGAACCUGAAACCGUGUGCGUACAAGCAGUAGGAGCCUCUUCGUGGGGUGACUGCGUACCUUUUGUAUAAUGGGUCAGCGACUUAUUGUAUGUGGCAAGGUUAACCGUUUAGGGGAGCCGUAGCGAAAGCGAGUCUUAAUAGGGCGUUUUAGUCGCAUGCAAUAGACCCGAAACCGAGCGAUCUAUCCAUGGGCAGGUUGAAGGUUGAGUAACAUCAACUGGAGGACCGAACCCACUAAUGUUGAAAAAUUAGGGGAUGACCUGUGGAUCGGAGUGAAAGGCUAAUCAAGCUCGGAGAUAUCUGGUUCUCCCCGAAAUCUAUUUAGGUAGAGCCUCGGACGAACACCACUGGGGGUAGAGCACUGUUUGGGCUAGGGGGUCAUCCCGACUUACCAACCCCAUGCAAACUCCGAAUACCAGUGAGUGCUAUCCGGGAGACAGACGGCGGGUGCUAACGUCCGUCGUCAAGAGGGAAACAACCCAGACCACCAGCUAAGGUCCCAAAUGUUAAUUAAGUGGGAAACGAUGUGGGAAGGCUUAGACAGCUAGGAGGUUGGCUUAGAAGCAGCCAUCCUUUAAAGAAAGCGUAAUAGCUCACUAGUCGAGUCGGCCUGCGCGGAAGAUGUAACGGGGCUAAAUUAGCAACCGAAGCUGUGGCUGUGUCUUAUGACACGGGGUAGGGGAGCGUUCUGUAAGCUGUUGAAGGUGUGUUGUCAGGCAUGCUGGAGGUAUCAGAAGUGCGAAUGCUGACAUGAGUAACGACAAGGGGAGUGAAAAACUCCCCCGCCGGAAGAUCAAGGUUUCCUGUCCAACGUUAAUCGGGACAGGGUUAGUCGGCCCCUAAGGCGAGGCAGAAAUGCGUAGUCGAUGGGAAGCGCGUUAAUAUUCGUGCACUUUUUGUUAUUGCGAUGGAGGGACGGAGAAGGCUAGGCCAUCACGGCGUUGGUUGUCCGUGUUUAAGGUUGUAGGCUGGGGAUUUAGGCAAAUCCGGAUCCCUAAGGCUGAGAACUGAUGACGAGCUAACUUUUAGUUGGCGAAGUGGUUGAUGCCCUGCUUCCAAGAAAAGCUUCUAAGCUUCAGAUAACAAAGAACCGUACUGUAAACCGACACAGGUGAUCAGGUAGAGAAUACCAAGGCGCUUGAGAGAACUCGGGUGAAGGAACUAGGCAAAAUGGCACCGUAACUUCGGGAGAAGGUGCGCCACUGACGGUGAAGGAUUUACUCCGUAAGCUGUUGGUGGUCGAAGUAACCAGUCCGCUGCAACUGUUUAUUAAAAACACAGCACUCUGCAAACACGUAAGUGGACGUAUAGGGUGUGACGCCUGCCCGGUGCUGGAAGGUUAAUUGAUGGGGUUAGCGUAAGCGAAGCUCUUGAUCGAAGCCCCAGUAAACGGCGGCCGUAACUAUAACGGUCCUAAGGUAGCGAAAUUCCUUGUCGGGUAAGUUCCGACCUGCACGAAUGGCGUAAUGAUGGCGGAGCUGUCUCCACCCGAGACUCAGUGAAAUUGAAAUCGCUGUUAAGAUGCAGUGUACCCGCGGCUAGACGGAAAGACCCCGUGAACCUUUACUGUAGCUUUGCACUGAACUUUGAACCUAUUUGUGUAGGAUAGGUGGGAGGCUUUGAAGCCAUGACGCUAGUUGUGGUGGAGCCGUCCUUGAAAUACCACCCUGGUAUGUUUGAGGUUCUAACGUCGGCCCGUUAUCCGGGUUGCGGACAGUGCAUGGUGGGCAGUUUGACUGGGGCGGUCUCCUCCCAAAGAGUAACGGAGGAGCACGAAGGUUGGCUAAUCCUGGUCGGAAAUCAGGAGUUUAGUGUAAUGGCACAAGCCAGCUUGACUGCGAGACUGACACGUCGAGCAGGUACGAAAGUAGGUCAUAGUGAUCCGGUGGUUCUGUAUGGAAGGGCCAUCGCUCAACGGAUAAAAGGUACUCCGGGGAUAACAGGCUGAUACCGCCCAAGAGUUCACAUCGACGGCGGUGUUUGGCACCUCGAUGUCGGCUCAUCACAUCCUGGGGCUGAAGCCGGUCCCAAGGGUAUGGCUGUUCGCCAUUUAAAGUGGUACGCGAGCUGGGUUUAGAACGUCGUGAGACAGUUCGGUCCCUAUCUGCCGUGGGCGUUGGAGAUUUGAGAAGAGUUGCUCCUAGUACGAGAGGACCGGAGUGAACGAACCUCUGGUGUUCGGGUUGUCAUGCCAAUGGCAUUGCCCGGUAGCUAUGUUCGGACGGGAUAACCGCUGAAAGCAUCUAAGCGGGAAGCCUCCUUCAAGAUAAGAUCUCCCUGGGGCCUUGAGCCCCCUAAAGAGCCGUUGAAGACUACGACGUUGAUAGGUUGGGUGUGGAAGCGCUGUGAGGCGUUGAGCUAACCAAUACUAAUUGCUCGUGAGGCUUGACCAU